UUUUUUAAUUGAAAGCUUGUAUGAAUGGUUUAACGAGAUAUUUUCUGUCUCAAAAAAAUUUUUAUAGAAAUUAAUUUUUGAAUUAAAAAGUUCAAAUGAAAUUAAAAGACGAGAAGACCCUAUAGAGUUUUAUAUUAUUUAUUUUAUAAAUGUUUUAUAAUUAUUAAUUUUUUAAUUUAAAUAAUAUUUUGUUGGGGUGACAAUAAAAUUUUAUAAACUUUUAUUUUUAUUUAACAAAAAUUUUUGAUUAAUUGAUCCAUUUUUAAUGAUUAUAAGUUUAAAUUACCUUAGGGAUAACAGCGUAAUUUUUUUGUAGAGUUCAUAUCGAUAAAAAUAUUUGC
rnacentral:rRNA from 1 species